rnacentral:rRNA from 1 species
UACGUAGGGUGCAAGCGUUGUCCGGAAUUAUUGGGCGUAAAGGGCUCGUAGGCGGUUUGUCGCGUCGGGAGUGAAAACUCAGGGCUUAACCCUGAGCCUGCUUCCGAUACGGGCAGACUAGAGGUAUGCAGGGGAGAAUGGAAUUCCUGGUGUAGCGGUGAAAUGCGCAGAUAUCAGGAGGAACACCGGUGGCGAAGGCGGGUCUCUGGGCCGUAACUGACGCUGAGGAGCGAAAGCAUGGGGAGCGAACAGG